GGGCCCGCACAAGCGGUGGAGCAUGUGGUUUAAUUCGAUGAUACGCGAGGAACCUUACCAGGGCUUAAAUGUAGUGGGACAGGUCUAGAGAUAGACCCUUCUUCGGACUCAUUACAAGGUGCUGCAUGGUUGUCGUCAGCUCGUGCCGUGAGGUGUCAGGUUAAGUCCUAUAACGAGCGCAACCCCUAUCGUUAGUUGCCAGCGAGUAAUGUCGGGAACUCUAACGAAACUGCCAGUGCAAACUGUGAGGAAGGUGGGGAUGACGUCAAAUCAUCACGGCCCUUACGUCCUGGGCUACACACGUGCUACAAUGGCAAGUACAACGAGUCGCAAUACCGCGAGGUGGAGCAAAUCUCUUAAAGCUUGUCUCAGUUCGGAUAGGAGUCUGCAACUCGACUCCUUGAAGUUGGAGUCGCUAGUAA
rnacentral:rRNA from 1 species